rnacentral:rRNA from 1 species
UACGGGGGGGGCAAGCGUUGUUCGGAAUUACUGGGCGUAAAGGGCUCGUAGGCGGCCAACUAAGUCGGACGUGAAAUCCCUCGGCUUAACCGGGGAACUGCGUCUGAUACUGGAUGGCUUGAGUUUGGGAGAGGGGUGCGGAAUUCCAGGUGUAGCGGUGAAAUGCGUAGAUAUCUGGAGGAACACCGGUGGCGAAGGCGGCAUCCUGGACCAACACUGACGCUGAUGAGCGAAAGCCAGGGGAGCAAACGGG